rnacentral:rRNA from 1 species
GACGAACGCUGGCGGCGUGCCUAAUACAUGCAAGUCGAGCGCAGGAAACUGACGGAACUCUUCGGAGGGAAGGCAGCGGAAUGAGCGGCGGACGGGUGAGUAACACGUAAGGAACCUGCCUCAAGGAUUGGGAUAACUCCGAGAAAUCGGAGCUAAUACCGGAUAGUUCAUCGGACCGCAUGGUCCGUUGAUGAAAGGCGCUCCGGCGUCACCUUGAGAUGGCCUUGCGGUGCAUUAGCUAGUUGGUGGGGUAACGGCCCACCAAGGCGACGAUGCAUAGCCGACCUGAGAGGGUGAUCGGCCACACUGGGACUGAGACACGGCCCAGACUCCUACGGGAGGCAGCAGUAGGGAAUCUUCCACAAUGGACGAAAGUCUGAUGGAGCAACGCCGCGUGAGUGAUGAAGGUUUUCGGAUCGUAAAACUCUGUUGUAAGGGAAGAACACGUACGAGAGGAAAUGCUCGUACCUUGACGGUACCUUACGAGAAAGCCACGGCUAACUACGUGCCAGCAGCCGCGGUAACAC